rnacentral:rRNA from 1 species
CGUAGGGUGCAAGCGUUGUCCGGAAUUACUGGGUGUAAAGGGAGCGCAGGCGGACCGGCAAGUUGGAAGUGAAAACUAUGGGCUCAACCCAUAAAUUGCUUUCAAAACUGCUGGCCUUGAGUAGUGCAGAGGUAGGUGGAAUUCCCGGUGUAGCGGUGGAAUGCGUAGAUAUCGGGAGGAACACCAGUGGCGAAGGCGACCUACUGGGCACCAACUGACGCUGAGGCUCGAAAGCAUGGGUAGCAAACAGGAUU